ACACAGCGGAUCCAUCAAGAUAUAUACCAAUGCCUACCAACAAUAUAUAAAAUCAUCACACCAUGUCUCGUAUCUACAAAUAUUGCGAGACAAAUAACAUAAUGACAGCACAGCACAAAGUAUGUUUCAAGAAUGCACAAGGAUCGAAGGAACUGCUGAUAAUAGAUUCCAACAUAAGUAUGCCUGUCAUAAGCGAAAAAUCUGGAAAUGACUGUAUAGAUUCUAGAAGAGUAUCACCUAGGGCUUUAAAUAAUUUAUCUGAUCUUUUAACUACUGUCAACUUUGAUACUUUGUAUAUGCAUUCAGAUGUUGAUGAUUGUUUCAGAUCAUUUAUGAAUUUGUUUGAAUAUUACUUAGAAAGAUCUUCACCAAUGUGAAGCGUUCACACAAUUUUUGCAAAGGUCGAGUAAAUGAUGAAAUCAAAAAAUCUAGUAGUGAUUUGAAAAAAAUUGAAUUGGCUCAAUAAAGGUUUGGGAACAUAUGAAUCAUAUAAAUUUAUAAUAAUGCGAAGAGAGACAUCAGAUAUCUAUUCAAACAAACAAAAUCAUAUUUCUAGCAAAGUGUUCUGAAUUCAUCAAUCAAUAAAAAUAAAACAGUCGGGAAUAUUGUUAAUGAGGAAUCUGGAAGAAAAAAAAAACAUAAUAUCAGUAUAAGCCUGAAUUACGAAGGUACCAUAUAUAAUAAACCUACAGAUGUUGCGAAUUUGUUUGUUGAUCAUUUCCCUUCUGUGGCUGACAUUAAUAUUCGAAAUUAUUUCGGUCUACAAGCUGGAGCACUUUGGAAUCCGUGGAUUGAUCUUGAAGUGGAUUGAGAGCUUCUUAACUGACAAAUCGUUUGUGAUAAAAGUUGGUGCUGCCAGAUCGGAACCAAGAUGUGUGCUCAGUAGCGUUCCUCAGGGCUCAGUUGCUGUUGCUGUUGCUGGUGUAUGUGAGCGAUCCAGCUGUUGAGUUCAAGUCGGACAGUGCCUCAUUUCCGAUGAUAUCAAAUUUAUCAAUUGCCCUCUCAACAACUAUAAAACCCUGCAGGAAGACUUGGACAGGAUCAUUUGUUGGUGCGACAAAUGGUUGAUUCCCCUGAACCCUUCAAAGUGCCGAAUACUAUAUUUGGGUAAAAACAAUCCAGGUUUGACUUAUUAUAUUGACGGCGUUGAAGUUGUUGGAUGUUCAUCUCAUGUGGACCUAGGUGUGGUGUUUUCAAGUGAUCUUCCGUGGACUGAACAUGUAUUGCACAUCACAAAAAAGGUCAAACAUCUUAUAUAUAUUGUCCAGAACGUUUUUCGUGGCAAUAAUGUGGCGGCUAUUUCCCAAAUAUAUAUAUGUUAUAUUCGACCAAUACUUGAAUUUGCCGGUCUGGUUUGGUAUCCGUGGUUGGCGGGUGAUGCUGCAUUACUGGAGAACUUACAGCGUUGUGUCACACGCAUUCCCUUUGGAUGGAAUCGCCCUUGUUAUCAGGAACGGCUACGAAUAAUGGAUCUUCCUUCCUUGGCUGAUCGUCGUUUGAGGGGAGACCUGAUAGUUACAUAUCGAGCAUUGCACGGCUUAUUCGGCGUCACCUGUAUGAGUUGAAUUCGAAUCAACUUCGUGGACAUGGAUACAAGUUAAAUAGAGAAGUAUUUCGAACGAGGUGCCGAGAUAAUUUCCUUUGUAAUCGGGUGUUCAACCAUUGGAACGGCCAGCCCAGCGAAAUAUUCCUAUUAUCAUUUCAACAUUUGGAAUAGUACCCAAAAAAAUUCAAGAAAAAUAUCAAGCAACUGGGACUUAGUGAUUCUAUAUAAUAUAAUGCAAAAAGCUGUUCUUUCAGGUACUGCAAGGACGGUGAGAAAAUUCCUAGGAAGCGACGGACAGGUUCAAGGAUCACAUGUAAGGGGACCAGAAGUUCGACGAAAACCAGAGGGACCACAAGGACCGGACACGACCGAGCACUUCCCUUCUGAUAUUUUAAAUAUCUGGGAUUGAGUGAAUGUUCCUUUUAGCGGGGUGUGAGAAGCCGACGGCGAGGAGAAAUCCUACGCGUAUGUCAGGUACUGCAAGGACGGUGAGAAAAUCCCUAGGAAGCGACGAAAAGGUCCAAGGAUCACAUGUAAGGGGACCAGAAGUUCGACGAAAACCAGAGGGGCCACAAGGGCCGAUCACGACCGAGAGUGAAUGUUCCUCUUAGCGGUACUGCAAGGACGGUGAGAAAAUCCCUAGGAAGCGACGAAAAGGUCCAAGGAUCACAUGUAAGGGGACCAGAAGUUCGACGAAAACCAGAGGGGCCACAAGGGCCGAUCACGACCGAGAGUGAAUGUUCCUCUUAGCGGUGAGUGAGAAGUCGACGGCGAGGAGAUAUCCUACGCGUAUAGGCUUAAGUCUGAAAUAAUAAUAAUUAUAUAAUGAACGAUUCUGUUAUGUGACAUGAAUACUUAUCUAUAAAUCUAAAAUAUAAGACCGCUUCAAUUCGUCAGAGAAAUUCCAGUUUCCUUGUUUUUGCACGAAAUAUAAUACCCCUGGAUGGGAUGAACAGAAGUUCACACCAUCUAUUUUCAAUGAGAUACCCUUCGUAGAUUCCAUCACAUUUUAUAUUUAUACUCAGCCGACAGCUACCAACAGCGACUCGUACGUAUCAAGUUUAAGUAAUAUCAAGUAGCUUGAUAUCAAGUCAAGCAAUAAAUAUCUCAAAU